CCUGCGGAGGGAUCAUUACCGAGUUUACAACUCCCAAACCCCUGUGAACAUACCUAUACGUUGCCUCGGCGGAUCAGCCCGCGCCCCGUAAAACGGGACGGCCCGCCCGAGGACCCUAAACUCUGUUUUUAGUGGAACUUCUGAGUAAAACAAACAAAUAAAUCAAAACUUUCAACAACGGAUCUCUUGGUUCUGGCAUCGAUGAAGAACGCAGCAAAAUGCGAUAAGUAAUGUGAAUUGCAGAAUUCAGUGAAUCAUCGAAUCUUUGAACGCACAUUGCGCCCGCCAGUAUUCUGGCGGGCAUGCCUGUUCGAGCGUCAUUUCAACCCUCAAGCUCAGCUUGGUGUUGGGACUCGCGGUAACCCGCGUUCCCCAAAUCGAUUGGCGGUCACGUCGAGCUUCCAUAGCGUAGUAAUCAUACACCUCGUUACUGGUAAUCGUCGCGGCCACGCCGUAAAACCCCAACUUCUGAAUGUUGACCUCGGAUCAGGUAGGAAUACCCGCUGAACUUAAGCAUAUCAA
rnacentral:rRNA from 1 species